UCCUGGGCUACACACGCGCUACAAUGGUCGGUACAAUAGGCAGCCAAGCCGUAAGGCGGAGCUAAUCCUAAAAACCGAUCUCAGUUCGGAUUGUGGGCUGCAACUCGCCCACAUGAAGCCGGAAUCGCUAGUAAUCGUGGAUCAGCAUGCCACGGUGAAUACGUUCCCGGGCCUU
rnacentral:rRNA from 1 species